rnacentral:rRNA from 1 species
AAAGAUGAAAAGCACUUUGGAAAGAGAGUCAAAUAGCACGUGAAAUUGUUGAAAGGGAAGCGCUUGCAGCCAGACUUGCCUGUAGUUGCUCAUCCGGGCUUUUGCCCGGUGCACUCUUCUACAGGCAGGCCAGCAUCAGUUUGGGCGGUUGGAUAAAGGUCUCUAUCACGUACCUCUCUUCGGGGAGGCCUUAUAGGGGAGACGUCAUGCAACCAGCCUGGACUGAGGUCCGCGCAUCUGCUAGGAUGCUGGCGUAAUGGCUGUAAGCGGCCCGUCUUGAAACACGGACCAAGGAGUCUAACAUCUAUGCGAGUGUUUGGGUGUCAAGCCCGAGCGCGUAAUGAAAGUGAACGGAGGUGGGAACC